UACGGGAGGCAGCAGUGGGGAAUAUUGCACAAUGGGCGCAAGCCUGAUGCAGCCAUGCCGCGUGUAUGAAGAAAGCCUUCGGGUUGUAAAGUACUUUCAGUCGUGAGGAAGGUGUUAAGGUUAAUAACCUUAGCAAUUGACGUUAGCGACAGAAGAAGCACCGGCUAACUCCGUGCCAGCAGCCGCGGUAAUACGGAGGGUGCGAGCGUUAAUCGGAAUUACUGGGCGUAAAGGGCACGCAGGCGGUUAAUUAAGUUGGAUGUGAAAUCCCCGGGCUUAACCUGGGAAUGGCAUUCAAGACUGGUUAGCUAGAGUCUUGUAGAGGGGGUAGAAUUCCAUGUGUAGCGGUGAAAUGCGUAGAGAUGUGGAGGAAUACCGGUGGCGAAGGCGGCCCCUGGGACAAAGACUGACGCUCAUGUGCGAAAGCGUGGGGAGCAAACAGGAUUAGAUACC
rnacentral:rRNA from 1 species